GAUCACCUCUGCAAUUAGCGAUCUCCCACCAAUCUCAUACCUCGAGUAAACAGCGGUUACAGCAAAAUAGCGAUUGGAUUAGCGCUCUUCCCCGUCCUAUCCCCAAACCGCCGGGCGCACUCCUCCCCGCCUCCACCCCUGACCGUGCCUCCCCACCGCCGUUGGGCGUUCCCCACCCCGUGUCUACGCAUCCCACCGGCGCCCUUCCCCCCGCAUCCGUGCCUCACUACCGCCGCGCUUUCCCCCUCUGCGGGUUCCCCUCGCGCGCGUUCGCGCUUCACCACCGUCGCGCCUUCCCCGCUGCCUCCUCAAUUCCUCGCCGCCACCGGUUCCCUACUCCGCCUGCAACCGCCACCAUCGGAGCCGUGGAUCCAUCGCUGCCAUGAACUCCACCUGCGAUCUGGCGUGACGACAGGAGCAGAGCUGCGACUACCGGGCUUCCAUGGUGCUGCUCAAGGAGGAAAUUCCAAGCUGAAAAGAGCAGAGUAGGAUAUUCAUUCUAAAGGUGAACGCUAGCAAUGUGAAUCAUCUGAGAUUGAGAAGGUCAUUACUUUUAGAAAUAUUUUUAUAAAAGUUUGUAUGCAUGGAUUGUUCUAGACGUUUUGUUUCGUAGAUUUGUACAAUUUUUACCAAUAGACAUUGUUAGUUACCUCACGUGCUUCUUGUUGAUGCAAAUUUUGUUUUUCUCCUCCCACCGCUUGGCCCAGCCCACAUAUGUGACUGACUGUGUGACAGUCCCUGUAUAUCUUUGUCAUUGUUACUACUAAAGACAUGUGGAGACCGUUAUGGACUAAAAAUACUGCAUACUUUAGUUUCAGGAUGAGGCCAUUCUAAUAUUUCUGCUGCUACAAGCCCCUAUAGUCCUAUACUUCUAUGCACCAUCACUUGAUACUUUGGACAUCAUUAUAAGCAAUGGUAUUGCAUGUAGAGUAUUCUAUUGAUAUUACUGGAUAUCAUGCUUUCAUACACAUCACAAAUUCAGAUUUAUGCAGUGAUAAUAUUUUCCUUGAACAUGUCAAGUUUAGUUCUAUACACAUAAUUCAUGAUAACUGAAUAUGUAAACGUUUUUCCUGCAGUACAAACAUGCAAUUGUUUAUGUACAAAGGAUUUGUUUUUCAGUUUUCAUUGAUAGGAACCCCUGAAUUGAAGAAAUGGCUCUGGAGUGCUUAUGUUCUUCCCCUGUUGGAGCUGGUUCUUCCUUAGGCCUGUAGCAAUGGUCCACUUCAUUGUCACAUAUUCAAACACCAUGUACUCAUGAGAUGCUAUGGAACUGUGACUUCCCCUCUGGUCCUGAGGCCUGAUUGUUGCAGGUGAAGGUGAGCUCUGUUAGAGGAAAACACGUAAAUGUUUUGGCAGACCACAAAGCUAGACCAUGGAUGCCAUCCUGUGGUUGGGGCUUAUCCUAUAGGCAAUUAGUUCUUGGGCUCCACUGUACUUUUGUUCUUAGGCUAAUUUUCAAUAUCAUAUUCCCAUGUGGCAGUAGAUUAUUAUUACAUGGUAGCUCAAACUAAUGUGAUGCAGUUUCUGGGUAUUCCAAUUUGUGCAUUUCUUAAUUUAAUCAUAUAUUUGACUGGAAUGGGCAUAUAUGUGACUUUGAUAGCUAGAUAUGUAAAAAAGUUUUGAGAUUUCUGGACAUCUUUCAUUUGUCAAUGCAGUUCUAUUUCUUUUCUACUAUUGAAGGCAAGAAAUAUAAUUUACCGUACCUUUUUUAUCAGCUAUAGUGUUUUUGUUGUUAGCCUUUGAAGCUAUUGCUUUUAAAGUGCUGUAAUCAUCUCGAAAAAUUAUUAUUUCAGCCAGUUGACAUUGCAAGUUAAUUAAGUAAAUUUACAUGUGGCAUAAAUCCUUUGUAGCUUGUUUAUCCUGUUAUGAUAAUUACCCAUAUUUUAGAUACCAUAUUUGAAUUGCACUGCCACAAGGAUCACUGCAUAUCUACAAUAUUGUUGGUAAGAAAUAUAUACAUUGUUAAUACUCUUAUUUCAUAUACUCGUAGUAGGAGUUAUGGCUUCAAUCCAUUUCACCUGUUUGGACUGGAGAGCAUUGUAAUGGACUGAGUAUAGACAACAUGUCUCAAGAUUAUUGAAAUGUACAGAGUAUAUAUAGACCACAUGUCCAAAGAUAAUUGAAGCAAGGAACGAUUUGUUUAGACAGGAGAGCACUGUAAAUGUUGCUGCUCUCCAAAUUUCUUCUGUAAUGUAUCUCUUACACUACCUCAUAUGUAUGUAUAUUGCCUAAAGGGACAAUUUAGGCCCAUGUGUUGGAUACUGCCUAACCCAACUUUGGCGAUGAACAUCAAGGUUCAGAGAAAAAAAUGUUUUUGUUUUACAGUGAUUCAGCAGGUGGUAUGCGAAGUUCAGAUAAUUUCAGCAGGGUUUUGUUUUAAUGUGUAUCUGACAAAUCACAACAUUCAAUUAGAUAAUUUUGAUAAAAUUGAGAAAAACAAUAUGUUCUAAGUCUGUAUAUAGAAAAUGGUUUUAUUAGACGUGUAUUAAACGUGCUUGACCAUUGCAAGAUUUUCUUAUAGUAAUUUUGGCAAAUUUGGAAGCUGAUUGAUUGACAGCUGGAGGUGUGGUUUUGUUUGCAGGUGCUCAAACCAGGCUGCUUUAGGGCUUCAACUAGCUCAUCCAAGACGUCGCCUCUCACAUCUACCUCAACUGAAAAAUGACAAAAAAAUGCUACAAUUUGUAAACAGAUUUGCGUACUUCAGUACCAUCAGCGUGACAGAUGUCACUGUGCCUUUAUUCUGCCUUUUGGCUCACAACUUCAUCACUAUAACUGCAACCUUUUCUUGCAGAAAGAUCAUAUUGUCACAGCAACCUGAUGAUGUUAUUAGCAACCAUCCAAUUUAUCAACCUAAUGAUGCUGUUAGUAAUUAUCUAA